UACGGAGGGUGCAAGCGUUAUCCGGAUUCACUGGGUUUAAAGGGUGCGUAGGCGGCUUUUUAAGUCAGGGGGUGAAAACUUGCGGCUCAACCGUAAGCUUGCCUUUGAUACUGAGGAGCUUGAAUACACUUGAGGUAGGCGGAAUGUGACAAGUAGCGGUGAAAUGCAUAGAUAUGUCACAGAACACCAAUUGCAAAGGCAGCUUACUAAAGUGAGAUUGACGCUGAGGCACGAAAGCGUGGGGAUCAAACAGG
rnacentral:rRNA from 1 species